rnacentral:lncRNA from 1 species
AUCUCUCAGGGCUGGGAUCCCAUUUCAAGGGGCGUUAGGCUGACUGACAUCCAGUGCAGCUGGAGCUCCUUGCAUCUCAGUGUCUAUCCCCUUCAUUUGGGUGCUGGGUUUGGUGUGCUUGGGCAUUAGGACUCGAACCAGGCAGACAGGGGGCUCUGGGCAGGUUCACAUGGGGGGCUGAAAGUGAGAUGUGACCCAAAGGGAGAAACCUGGGACAGCAGAGAGUCUGUGGGGAUGGAGAUGGUAGAACUGGGAGCCUGAGAGCAGCCAAAGGGCAGCUACUCCCACCCAAUCCCAUACGCAAUAAGUAAAGACAUGCUUAGGCAGGAGGAGCAGUGUGGAGGAUGCUGCAACAUGGGGGGGACAGGAGGCAGAGAGGAGCUGGCAAUAGGAAUACAGCACACUGCAACCUGAACACUUAAGAUCUGGAGCCUGGACUUGGAUGCAGCACCUGAGCUUGUGUGGAAACUGCUGUGUUUCCCAUAAAACGUUAAUUCCUUGUCCUGACCUGCGGAAAUACCCCUCAAUUUUUGUCAGUGCAAAGCUAUGCCUAAAGAUUAAACCUGCAUGUGCUCUGCACGUCAAGGAAAACACCAUUUGACAUCAGCACCAGCAAUGUGACCUCCAAGAAAUCCUGCAAGCAGAGAAGGAAUAGCAACAUCUCAUACAAGCCUUUGGAAGGGACUGGAGGAUACAUCUGUAGGAUGUAUAGUAGUGACGUGCUGCUGACCUCGCAGCCCUGGGGUGUUGGAGCUGGUGGCCAGGAUUGGCAGGGCCUUUCCCAUGUGGAGGGCUAAUUCUGUACCCUCAGGACCGGAUACGGUAUCUCGUCAGCAGCACCCGGCUGGAGAAGGGAAGAGCAUUGUGUGGGCUGUUGCUUUUUUUAAAAACCACUUAUGACCCUGGGAGGAGCAUGUGAGCAAGAGGAGGGCAUGUGAGCAUUGCUGCAAGGAGGGGCAGAAACUGGGGAAAACUCCCAGCUCCUGAAUCUCACAGGGAAAUCCCUAGAAAGCUCCCUGGUGCCCCCUUUCUCAGCAUACAAACUCCUAUGCAGUGGGAAUCAGGUGGGACCAUAAGCACUGGUGAGCUCCAUGCCGCCCUCGCUCCUUGAGGUGAAGAACAACCCCAUGACCUUGCAGUGUUGCUGCCCACCCCAUCAGCCAGCACAGGAAGGGUAUCCCCCA